UGAUUUUAUUGUUUAGUGAGAAUGAUAUUUGUUCUUUAACAAUGUGGUAAAAAGUAUAAGUAAAGAUUCCUUGAUUAUAUUAAAGGUUAUUUUUAUUGUUAAUUUAGAUGUAUUUUUAUAUCUAGAUUGAGAUUUAGAGAUAAUGUUUAAAUUAUUUAAUUAACGAGUCUUGGUAAUUUUUGAAAACCGGUGUUGAGAUAUGGCUUUAGGAAGUUGAGAGACUUUUUGGGGUUAUAUGAUCAAGUGAAUAAGUGCAU
rnacentral:misc_RNA from 1 species